rnacentral:misc_RNA from 1 species
UAUUGGCUUCCUUAAGGCUAA